rnacentral:rRNA from 1 species
CUUGGUCAUUUAGAGGAAGUAAAAGUCGUAACAAGGUUUCCGUAGGUGAACCUGCGGAAGGAUCAUUACCGAGUUAGGGUCUUAUAGGCCCGACCUCCAACCCUUUGUUUACUACACCAUGUUGCUUUGGCGGGCCCGCCUUUUGGGGCCGCCGGGGGUUUACAAGCCCCUGGUCAGUGUUCGCCAGUAGCCUUAUUAAAUUCUUUUAUAAUUAUGUUGUCUGAGUAUAAAUAUAAAUCGUUAAAACUUUCAACAACGGAUCUCUUGGUUCUGGCAUCGAUGAAGAACGCAGCGAAAUGCGAUAAGUAAUGCGAAUUGCAGAAUUCAGUGAGUCAUCGAAUCUUUGAACGCAUAUUGCGCCCUUUGGCAUUCCGAAGGGCAUGCCUGUUCGAGCGUCAUUAUCAACCAUCAAGCCUGGCUUGUCGUUGGACCUCUUUACCGCUGAAAUAUGUGGUAGGUCCGAAAGAUAAUGACGGCGUCGUGUUUGACCCUAGAUGCAACGAGCUUUUUAUAGCACGCAUUGAAGUGGUCGGCCGACCCGGUCUUUAACCAUUAUUUUCUAAGGUUGACCUCGGAUCAGGUAGGAAUACCCGCCGAACUUAAGCAUAUCAAUAAGCGGAGGA